CCUACGGGUGGCAGCAGUGGGGAAUAUUGGGCAAUGGGCGCAAGCCUGACCCAGCAACGCCGCGUGAAGGAAGAAGGCUUUCGGGUUGUAAACUUCUUUUUUCAGGGACGAAGAAAGUGACGGUACCUGAGGAAUAAACCACGGCUAACUACGUGCCAGCAGCCGCGGUAAUCCGGAUGGUGACAGCGUUUUCCGGAUUUACUGGGUGUAAAGGGCGGGCAGGCGGCACGGCAAGCCUGAUGUGAAAGCCCGCGGCGCAACCGCGGGACUGCAGUGGGAACUCCCGGGCUGGAGUGUCGGAGAGGUAGGCGGAAUGCCUAGUGUAGCGGUGAAAUGCGUAGAUAUUAGGAGGAACACCAGUGGCGAAGGCGGCCUACUGGACGGUGACUGACGCUGAGGCUCGAAAGCGUGGGGAGCAAACAGGAUUAGAUACCCCAGUAGUC
rnacentral:rRNA from 1 species